GCACUGCUGAGGAGUCCCACAACAGGACGAAACGGCAGUCGAGUGC
rfam:Schistosoma rodhaini strain Burundi genome assembly, scaffold: SROB_scaffold0000908